rnacentral:tRNA from 1 species
CACGGUGGUCUAGCGGUUAGAACGCUGGACUUGUAAUCCUGGGGUCUCGGGUUCGAUUCCUGGCGGUG